UGCGGUGGUCGACCGAGUUAUGGAGCUCAGUCAUUGGGAAAAUGUCGAACCGGUACUGAACCGGUGGGUUGGCCGUUCUGCUAGGAAAAAUUUCCCCUUCCUCAUUAAGGUAUGCCGCGUUCUUAUGCUUCUAUAAAGCUAUAAAAUACAUUGCUGUUACUCUUUGCAAUUUUUAAUAUGUAAUUCACGUAUAAUACGAAUUACAGAACAAUAAAGGAAAAAAAAAUUAUAUUAUAAACUCGAAAAAUGAUCGGGUUUAGAUUUUAAAAAUUGUAAUCUUAUACCAUCUUAAAUGAGAUUAAUUUUAUUUCUCAAGCUCAUUUUUUAAAGUUAAUAUUUAUGUUAAAACUUUCUCAAAUAUUAGGUGGAUCUUUGAGCAUAAUAUGAUAAUUUGAGUUAAGCUACCGAUGAACUGAAAUAUUAUUAUUAAAAAAGUCAUUUUUAAAAAAAAUUAACUAUAAUAGAAAGUAGAAUAAAAUUAUCGCUGACUACAUUAUAUAUAGUGUUAAUGUUUCAUUUUAUUACUAGUAUAAUAAUAUAAGGAAAAAAAUUUAAUUAAUACAUGUAUUAAAAUAAUUAGACAUAAAAUAAAAAAAAUAAUUAAUACAAAUUUAAACUUGAAAUUAAAAUGAUGAGUAAAAAAAUUAUUAUAAAAAAUAAAAUAUUUUCAAAAAAAUAAAAAAAAAUAACGUAUAACACAAAUCACAGAACAAUAAAGGUUUUUUUUUUUAUAUUUUGAGGAGGAAUUCAAAUUGAGGAAAAUUCAUGUAUUUGUUGUAAAAUAAAAUAUUAAUAUAUGUUUUAUAAGUUAAGUAAUAUCUAAAAGUAUCCAACAAUGUUAAUUUUUAGAUUUUGUUAACCAAAAACAACAUUUUUAUCUGGUUAAUUUGUUUGUGAUGCUAAUUAUGCGUUUCUUUAACCGUAAAGAUGACUUUUUGAAAUUUACAAGUCUCUUCGCAAGUGGUUUUUUUAUUUAUUUAUAAAUUAUAUUUAUGUUAAAGUAUAAUUAAAUAUUUUUAAGAAUAUUAUUUAUAUUGAAAAUAAAAUAAAUAAACAAAUGAAAUAAUAAUUAUAGAGGAGCUAAAGGAGUAAUUUGUCCCUUUACUAGGGUUCCAGUCCAUCCACUGGAGCUUUAUUGGUGAAACCAUGGAGAUUGAAAUACGUGGAAGCUCAUAGUUUAAAUAUAAUUUUUGGAAAACAGUUAUCGAACUUUUUUUUUUAAAACAAUAAAUUAUUUAUGUUAGAAAGAACAAUAUUAUCGGUGCAAUGAUAAUGUAUAUUAUAUUUUAAAAAGUAAUAUUGGUUUGAAUUUUGGAAUAGGACAACCCCAAAUCCUAAAUAUAAACCGUAAAACGAAUGAUAAAAAAUUAUUUAAUUUACAAUUAUUUUUUUAGUUAUAUCUCUCCUAUAUUUUUUUUAUAAAUUUUAAAUUAUUUAUUAAUAUAAUAUAUAAAAAAUAUCAUAUUAUAUCAAAGAAGGUUAAAUUUAUUAUUAUGUCUUAUAUUUUAAAUUUAAAAAAAAUCAUUUAAUGUAUAGGUUUCUUAAUAAAAAGAUUAAAAUAUAAUCUAUAUCAUACUACAAAGAUAUACGGGAAGUAAGUGAUACCGCAUAAGUGACGCACUCAGGUGGUGUAUAGUUUAACUUUUGGAGAACUCAUUUGAUUGACUCUAACAAGUUCUCAAUUGAAGAAGGGUUGACACCUUUCACCCCCUUUAAAUUCAGUUUGCUCCAUAACUUCGUAACUCUUUUAUCAGG
rnacentral:lncRNA from 1 species